rnacentral:lncRNA from 1 species
UUGUUAUACAAAAUUGAGUAAAGAGCCCAAAGUUAAACGAAGUUAGCAAAUUUGUGAUAUCAAAUGAAAGAUAAAUUGAUAUAAAUGCAAAGAAAAUAAACCAAUACAUUUUAUGCAAAUUGUAUCAAUGUGCCAUAUUUUUAGCUAUAUUUACCAUAUUAUGAUGUGCAGCUGUUUCAUGAUGUGACAUUAGAACUCUAAAAAGAUAAGGAUUCCAGUAAAAAAGUUGUAUCAUGAAUUUAUUACAAAACCUCAAAAUUUUGUUUACUCAAAAAUUGUAUCCUAUAAGCUAAUUAAAGUAUAAACACCAAGUUUAUCAUAUAAGCUUGAUAUUCAAAAGAGUACUUCAGACACUUUUAAUAGCCACAGUCAUAUGUUUUUUGGAAGUGCAAUUUGUUUGCUUUUGAUAAGAUUUUCUAUGUUUAGGUCAAAUUAUAGUAGGCAAACUGAAUGGUCAUGUAUAUGUCACUAUGGACUAUGACAUUGUAUUAUUGAUAUACAAAAAUCCAUUUAUUUUUUGUAGGUAGAGUCCUUCAUUUUUAAUUUUUUUAAAAUUUUGUAAAGACACAGACAUGACAGCAAAGAAGUUUUAUUGUCUUACCUAAACAAAGUAAUAUGUACGAUCAAAAUGACUUAAUGACAAGACAUUUCUGUGUGUCAAUAGUUUAUAAAUAUCAAAUCGUUAAAAAUAAUGUGCCAAUGGAAGUAUACAUGUAGCCGUAUGCCUCAUCACAAUUUAGAAUUACAAUUCUCUUUGCUUCAGAAUUCCAUGGUUCUUAAACAAGGUGUAACUAUUCAUAUACUUUUAAAAGUGCACAUUACUAAACAUAUCUCAGGAACAGUAAUAAAAUCUGACAUGUAAAUCAUAUUGUUCUUAAUAUUAACAUUUGUAUUUUUAUGCAAUAGCUAUGCAAUUUCAUGCUAUAAUUUGCAUUCCUUAUAAAUUAAGUGUAGUUCUAGUCAGUUUUAAUUUAUUUCUAAUAUUUAGUGUUAAAAAACAUGUUCAUAUAUAUUUUGCUUAAUGUCAUCAAUAUCUUGUUUUCUUUUUUGUUUUUAUAUGUUUAUUUAAUAAUGGCAAUCAAAUAUCAAUCCCAUAUGAAAAAUAUCCCCUGAAAGAAUCUGAUCAUUCAACAAAUAAAAAAUGUUAAAAAAAAAAGCAGAAUUCUUCUUUGUUUUUAUUAUGAUGAUGAUAAUAUACAUAGAAUAUCCAUGUUAUAUACAUUUGAUGUUUUGUAAAUUAUUACUUUAGUAAUGCUAAAACAAAAUUAGCUUUGUAUACUGUUAAAAUAUUUAUUUAUUUAUUUCUAAAAUAUGCGAAGAUUUAAAGGGAGACAAUUUAUAGUGUAUUUUUUAUUUGAAAGGUUGUAUCUGUUUUAUUACUAUUAUGCUUUAAGUAUCAAUAAAUGGUUGCUUUCAUUUAUGUGAAAUUGUAGUAUUUUACUACUAACCAAUGAUAAUCUAUUUUGUGUUCAAAGCAUAUCAAUAUCAUUUAUGUUGUGCUUUUGUCUUUUAACGUUUAUCACAUAUUUUCAAAAGAUACUCAUAUUUGAGGGUUUGGUUGGGGAUUACAGAAAAAUGAAUAAAAAUGGGCCAAUGAAAUAAAGAAAAGAGAAUAAGGUGGUGCUAGAAUACAAAGAAUAUAAAAUAAUUUGCGAAAAAUAUAAAGAAUACAGAUAAAACAGCCUAUCAAUUAAAGAAUAUAGAAAUUGACCCACGCCAUCUAGAUCCUCUUAUUUAUACAUGUAUGCUACUACUCAAAAAGAACAAUGAUUACAAGGACCAGCUGGAUUAUGUGUGGACUAAUAUUAGAUUAUCUAUUGAUUUCAAUAGUAGUCCUUAUCAGCCCUGACAUGUCCUGAAUAUAAGCUGUAUUUUGGUUUUUUUCUAAAAAUCUAUUAAAUGAAAUUUUUUUAAAUGAAACAAUGUGUUGUUUAAAACCAUUUUAUAUAUUAUACUGUAUUCAGUCAACAUAUAUUCCAUAUCUGUAAUGUAUUUUUGUUUUAAAAUUUAUGCAAAUGUGAUGUAAAAUUCCUUGAAUACUCAUGCUAGAACCAUGUAAAUUUUCAUGAGUGAGUUGUUCAUGAAGACAAAAACCUUUAAAUUAUGCAUUUUCAACAUAUCAAAGCCAUUUGAAAAUCAGCCUCUAUCUAUAAAUUGUCACUAAAAAUUAUAUCAUGACCACAUUUACUGUGAUAGAUUUUAAAAAUUUUUUUAAAUUUAAAUUAAAACAAGAAUAGAAAUAUCAAAUUGAAAGUCUGAAUUUCAUCGAACAAUUAGGUCAAACAAGGCCUUCAAUGUAUUUUUGUUAGAAAUAAAAAAAUGUCCAUCAAAAUAUAAAUAUAGCACAUACCGGUACUAAUACUAGUAUAAGCAUUAGUAUUAUUUUGUUAGUGUUAUGUCUUAAAAAAUACACUUUAUACAUAAUUCUUCUGAUAUGUUUUAAAAUUUCUUACAUAGAUGCAGAACAUUGUAUGUUUUAUGUCUAUUCUAGAAUAAUUUGUAUAAACUAUGAAAAUAUAGGUAAUUGUUGUGCCUUAAGGUGUCACAUGCAAUCAAAAGGACCAAUGUUGUUUUAAUCUAUAUAGCUUGCUAGAACAACCUGUGUUUUACGAUUUAUAGGAUGCAAAAUAUUUAUACUUUCAUACAUAAUUAUUGCUUACAUGUGAAACCUGUAAUUUACUAAAACCAUCAAAUGUAAAUGUCUCAAAUAUCUGUUGUCAAUGAUUUUUUUUAUGCAAUAAAUCUUUCUACUUUUGUCUUUUAAUUUAAGUUUGCCUCAACACAUAAUUCAUAAUAUUCUGGUACCAUCAUCCUCUAUAUUUGGUAUCUUACAAUGAAUAUUUCAUGUCU